UAACGACUCUCGGCAACGGAUAUCUCGGCUCUCGCAUCGAUGAAGAACGUAGCGAAAUGCGAUACUUGGUGUGAAUUGCAGAAUCCCGUGAACCAUCGAGUCUUUGAACGCAAGUUGCGCCCUAGGCCAUCCGGCCGAGGGCACGCCUGCCUGGGCGUCACGUAUCGUGUCACCCCCCACUCUGUCGCUCCUUAUGGCGACGGAGCGUGGGAUGGAGAUUGGCCCCCCGUGCCGCCCCAUUGUUUUGUGGUCGAGGUGCGGUCGGCCCAAAGAAAGACAAGUGUCCCCUUGUGCGGCGAUCGUCGUGACGGGUGGUGGUCGAAAGCCACUUUGCCAUCGGUUCGGACGUCGUGUGCGAUUCUUGCCCUCAUUGGGGCCAUUGUGUUGACCCCGAUCAUUUGUCGUCCGAGGAUGCCAUUUUGACCGCGACCCCAGGUCAGGCGGGGCUACCCGCUGAGUUUAAGCAUAUCAAUAAGCGGAGGAGAAGAAACUUACGAGGAUUCCCCUAGUAACGGCGAGCGAACCGGGAAGAGCCC
rnacentral:rRNA from 1 species